AAGUUUAGAGAAGAAUGUCAAAAGGCCAUUGCAUUCUUUUUAGCCUGGGAGGAGAAUAAAAGCACCUCAUCUUUAGUGAUGUUAUAGAGAAGACAGCAAAGGACUUGUUUCCAACAGAGCACGAUGGAAGAGGCUAGACCUGCACCCGCAAAUAUUAACGAAUACGUAGGCCCACAUGCUGCAAGUGAGGAGAGACUAUUAAACCCGCCCACUCCUGGCGGAGAAACUAGCCAUGUAUUAGAUGGUAUCGACGAAAUCAUACAAAGCAACGAUUUCGAAGAUAUACUAGGCCAACUCGAUGCCGAAGGAUUGGAACAAUUUCUUGAUCCGGAAAUAACUUUUGCACCAAAAAGAGGAAAGCCGGAAACAUUCGUAAACUUUCAUCAUACACCGAGCAAUGCUCUGGAAUACCAAUGGAUGUUGAGUGAUGGUCGCUUAGGAGGCUAUGUUUUUGACAAAGAAGAAUGCAGUGUGAAGCUAUAUGUUUUGGCUUCACCGUAUUUGGUGUUUUUAGACUGGAUGAUGCUACACAUCUCAUUUUGUGCUGCCGAUUGGAUAAUGUUUAGGGAUAUUUGGAGUGAUCUUGAUCUUGAACUACCUGUUUCUGAUAGCACCUUCACAGCAUCAUGGAAUAGUUCGGUCUAUACCAAAUGUUACCAUAUUCGUGCUAAUUGUCUUGAAAUACAGGGGUUCAUUCUGUGUAGUGAGGACUACAGAAUAGAAACAUAUGUUGAAGCAAUGUUUGCUGCAGAAAAUGAUGUAGAGAAAUUCACACAAGGUCCUAAAGUGAGGUAUCUAUGGAAAGACAUGCUUGUUUUAAGUAAUGUUUUCAAAAAGGUUGAUAGAUUGUUCAAAUGGAGUGUUGGCUUGGAUAGAUACCAAAGGAUCAAGAGGCGUCUUUUCCCGAUGCGUCACCUUGAUCUAGCCAACGAUAGUGAAGUUAAUGCCCUUAAAAACAAAUGAUGCUGGCUAGCUCAUUGUCUAAAGACUGCUCUAUUGUAUGUACAGUAGGGGCCUCCAUUAACAAACCAUAUCAUGUAACAGUAUGUGAAAUUUGAAAAAACAUGUCAUAGACAACAUAUAACAGCUGUAUGUACAUACUGUAGAUGUUUUUAUCAUUAAUUUGUAUGGCAAUGAAAAUGUGUUUUUUCUAUUUAGCUUUUACACUAUUUAGAUACUUUACCAUUGUAAAUGUGUUUGUGUGGGUGACAAUACAUUUUUUCAAAAUCAUUAUUUGGUGAAAAGGUUAUAAUGGCGGACCCUCUAAAUGUGGUUUACAAUACACACCAUCCAGUGAGGGGUCUUUCGGCGAUAAAACAAGAUUAAA